AUUGAACGCUGGCGGCAGGCCUAACACAUGCAAGUCGAGCCGAUGAAGGGAGCUUGCUCCUGGAUUCAGCGGCGGACGGGUGAGUAAUGCCUAGGAAUCUGCCUGGUAGUGGGGGAUAACGUCCGGAAACGGGCGCUAAUACCGCAUACGUCCUGAGGGAGAAAGUGGGGGAUCUUCGGACCUCACGCUAUCAGAUGAGCCUAGGUCGGAUUAGCUAGUUGGUGGGGUAAAGGCCUACCAAGGCGACGAUCCGUAACUGGUCUGAGAGGAUGAUCAGUCACACUGGAACUGAGACACGGUCCAGACUCCUACGGGAGGCAGCAGUGGGGAAUAUUGGACAAUGGGCGAAAGCCUGAUCCAGCCAUGCCGCGUGUGUGAAGAAGGUCUUCGGAUCGUAAAGCACUUUAAGUUGGGAGGAAGGGCAGUAAGUUAAUACCUUGCUGUUUUGACGUUACCAACAGAAUAAGCACCGGCUAACUUCGUG
rnacentral:rRNA from 1 species